UGAUGUGGAUUAAUUCGAUGCAACGCGAAAAACCUUACCUACCCUUGACAUGGUCGGAAUCCUGAGGAGACUCGGGAGUGCUCGAAAGAGAACCGAUACACAGGUGCUGCAUGGCUGUCGUCAGCUCGUGUCGUGAGAUGUUGGGUUAAGUCCCGCAACGAGCGCAACCCUUGUCCUUAGUUGCUACGCAAGAGCACUCUAAGGAGACUGCCGGUGACAAACCGGAGGAAGGUGGGGAUGACGUCAAGUCCUCAUGGCCCUUAUGGGUAGGGCUUCACACGUCAUACAAUGGUCGGAACAGAGGGUUGCCAACCCGCGAGGGGGAGCUAAUCCCAGAAAACCGAUCGUAGUCCGGAUUGCACUCUGCAACUCGAGUGCAUGAAGCUGGAAUCGCUAGUAAUCGC
rnacentral:rRNA from 1 species